rnacentral:lncRNA from 1 species
AAAAAAAUCCUAAUCUUGAGAGUAGAAUUCUAUAAUUAAAUAUUUUCUAGAGAAUUAGGCUCCGUUUUAGUACAUCAUCUUCUGAGAUCAAGCAAAGCCUAGUACUGGAAACUAGUAGGGAAAGCACAGCUAACUCGUCAGUGUGCUCAUUAGCAACUGUGCUGAGUUACUAAAGUGAUUCUGUACAAUCAGCAAUCAAGACAUUUGUUAGAGUGAAACCGACAUCAGCGAGCAUACUGAUGCCACUCGGCUAACUCAAGCCUUACGUUUUAACCUUUUGGUAAUUAAUAUGCCAAUCUUAUAAGAAGUCCUGUCUAGAAAUCUCACAGAUUAUAAACCCAAGCGUUUAAAGUUUAAGGAGUUACAGUUUAGGGAUAAAGUAAGCAAAAAAAAAAAAAAAUUUUUUUGAAAUGAUGAAAUGACAGGGGGAAAAAAGCCCUACUAACUUUAUCUUCUACAAUAGGACUGAAACUCUGACCAUGGAAAGGACAUUCUUUGUCUUCUCCUUACUUCACAGGCGGGCCUAGCACUAGGGUAACCCUUGCUCAGCCCUUUAGCUCAGAUUUGAACCACAAGAAUGAGCCACCAUGUCUGAUUAAUAUGUUUAUCAUUAGUAUGCUACACUCACAUUUGGCAAAUCAACUGAUAAACUGGAAAUAAAGAAGUAUAAAAGAAAACUGACUUGGUGAAUCAUACACAUAUAAAAUUUAAUUUCAAAAUAUUGUACACAUAUAAGAUACAGAAAGUCUCAGGUUGUAAGACAUCACUGGUCCAACAGGGAACGCUAAUUUUCUUAUUAAAGCUGACCAUGUGACUUAAAGCACAGUCACUCCCAUAGGUUUCAUGGUGUCACAGGGCAGACCAGUAUACGUUAGCAACUGAACUUAUUUGAGGGACACUUUCUGAAAAUAUUCCCUUGAGUAGUUCUAUAAUGUCAAUCUCAUACAUCCUAGAAAUAGUCAAAUAUGCUUUUAAAAGAAACAAACAAAAAACCUCUUUUAUCUAUUACUUCUAAUUAAUUAGUUUUAUAACUAUCUUACUGUAAAAGAUACUCACCUCUAUGAGACUGGAGUGUAUUCCAAUCAGGUAUGGCAUUGGGGCACUAAAUUAAAAAUAUAUAUGUGUGUAUAGAUUCAUAUAGUUCAUUAAAACUGAAACAACAUUAACGUCAUUCAAAUGCUCAAAAAUUAAAGUGCUCAGUCUACCAUAAGACAUUAUAGUUUUUCAAAAUUAUGUAAUGUACAAAAGUUAAAUUUAAUCUUCUAAGCCAUUAAUACAUUUAAGAAUGGUUUAUAUCAAAGUCUCUAAAACCCUUAUUUUUAAGUCAAAAGUUCUAUAUCUAAAUAACAUUUUAUUUAAGAAGACUAUCAGGGUGUAGGUCAAAGGUACUGGAUGCAAAUACAUUCUAAAUGACUGUCAGAAGUAUCUCCAUUUCCCUUACACACAUCUCUCCGUCAGUGACCUAUGAUGUCACGGGCACUCAGGCAUAGGCUUUAUCACUGUGUUCUCCCUGCUCUAGAGCAGCGAGGAAGACACUGUCAGCCCCUCUGUGCCCUUGUCCUUGUGCACCUUCACAUUCAUUUGACUUUCGUUGUUAUUGAUAGAAUAGUUUAAAUAAAAAACGUUAAGUCUAAUAAUGACUUUGAAUUAACUAUUUCAGGUCAUAACUUCAGAACCAUACAAGAUCCAGGCACCAGGAAAGAAACUUGGAUGCCGUGAGAAACAAUGACACACUUCCUCCUGGGUCUUACACUCCAGCAGAAAAUACAGAUGCUACGUCAUUUUAACAUGCUAUCAUACAAACUAGGGAAAUGUUAGAAAUCAUUGUUAGGAAAUAGAAGAUGCAAUGUAUUCAUCUUGAAAUUUCAAAUUAUCAAAAAGAAAACCAUGAGUGCAGACGGAUGUCCAUAGAAAUAAUAAAUAAUAUGAGAACAAAUAACUUUUUAAAAACACACUUUUGAGAACUCUUUUAUAGGUAUCUCUGAUCUUUAGCCUUUUGCACUAACACAAAUCCUGCUUCUCAAAGGCUCUUCUAAUGCUCUGAGCAUCACUGUUAGGACACAGAAAAGCCCAGUCUCCUCUGCACCUUGCUGCAGAGAAGCAGUAACAGCUGAUGUUACCAGACAGCCUUGCCAUUGCGACCUCUCAAGUCAUCUCAGAAUGUUCAAAGGUCAGUUAAGAGUGACUGAACAGUAAUCUAUAUAUCCAAGAUCCCAGAAACUCGGAGCCAUGUAACUUCUCAUUACUGUGUACACGCAAAAUUUCACUACUACGCUAGUAAUUCACAUUGCCUGUCGCUUUUGCUUAGCGUAGCUCAGAGACAAGUGGGAUCACUGAGCAUCGCUGUAUAGUUUAUUUUUUUCUCACUAGUUUUUAGCAAAAUCCAAAACAUACAGAUGCUUGAAUACACUGCAGUAUAAUUUUCUAAAAUCGUAAAUGACAGAAUGCAGUUUUGAUAGAGCCAAAUGGAUUGGUGUUUCUUUCUCACUCGAUGGUACAUAUCCUACCGUGGCACAAGCCAGCUCUCCUGGACAGUCACUUUGCAGUCCUAGCUGGCCAUCCUACUUUGAUGAGGGCUUUGGUGAAUCAGGAGGGCCCAGUGCUGACCCAGAUGCUCUAUUGUGCACAUGUAAGGCUGUCUCAGGGCCUGCUGUCUGUCUGGGAAACUAUUUAAAAAAGACAGUGCAGACAGCACAAAACUAAUUCUUCUUUGUGGUUGAACUUUACUCAAAAUCACUUUUUUCCUUUCUAAGUUUACUCAUAAAGAAGUUGCCCUGACACAUACUAUUGCAGCAAUCACGUAGUCUAAAAGAAUUUUUAAAAAUUUUUUUUCUUCAAAGCUAAAUUUGAAUAUUUGAAAGAAAUAAUCAGGGAAGCCAACUAAAUGACCAACUUAAGUACCAACUGAACAGAUAAGAAUUUAUUAUAAUCCUGGUGGUCUACAGCCACACUUCUUCUGAUAUACUUCACAGUUUUUAAGUAUCUGACAAUAAAUGUGCCAUAUUGAAGUACUGUUGUUUUGCUUAAGAAGAAAACACAAAUGAUGUCACUUCCUCCCAAGAGCAUUUCUCAACAUAGCAAGAGUGCUGUCACUACUGCUCCAGAUGCCACCUUUGUCUCUUUUGUGUGACUCUGCUAGAGUUAUAGGACUAUUCUAUACUUGGAUGUGUACAGAGAGCUGCAUACAUAGCUACGUACAUAUAUUUUCUAAUUCCAGUGAAUGAACAAGUAAAGAAGCUUAUUCAUUGCAUUACAGAUUCACAGCUUGCCAAGUAGGUGGUCUUUAAAUGUUGGAUGGGUGAGUGGGUGAGUUGGUGGGAGGAUAGAUGGAUGAAUAGAUGGAUAGACCAACAAUGUAGUAAAACCGUCAAAGGAACAAGAUGUGAUAUUCAUCUAUGGUCACAAGAGGGCAUUAUGGUCCUCCAAAGUCUAGGGCGCAUCACCAAUACCUGGUGCAAACAGAAAUAUAUUUUAUGGAUCCACAACUAUUUCAAGAUUUGCAAUAUCCCAAUCAUUCUGAAAAGUUAACCAAGAUACAUGUACUCAGAAAAUGUGGCCCCAUUUGGAACUUGGUGUGAGUUAUUUGCUCAAUGACCUUGAGACCCAUGAGAAUAUUUUUUUCUUCCUUCAGCAUAUAUCAGUAUAAUCCUAAUAUCAAUGAUAUAAAUAGAGAAUCAUUUUCCUAGGAAACUGCUCAAUCUACCAUAUUUUCUGAUAAGAGAAGGAAAUUACAUAGAUGAAUAGAUGAAAGCUGAAACUCUCAUAUGACUUUAAGGCUCAGAAAGUUUCAAGUAAGACCCUGUAUGGACACUACUCUCUCCUCUGAACUAAGGAGUACCUGUCCUGGAUGCUCUGAGGAUUGGACCACAGUCCUAAGAGGACUAUUUCUAAGCAUUAGAAGCAAGCAAGCAAGUAACAGGCGAGAAGGGGAGGAGCUUCUCUACUUAGAGUAGAAGCAGCAGGAAAGACUUGACGGCUGCAUCAGAAUCAAGAAAGAGUGUUGGAAAGAAUGUGUGCAUGGUUGAGUACUUUUAAAUUAACUUGUAGAAAAUUUAAAUUUAAAUUACAUGACAGAGAAUUGACCUGAAAGGUGUGUUAUCAAAGGCAGCCAGAACACGUUACC